UGGGGCAUAUCUUAAUCGGUAGAGUAGCGGUCUCCAAAACCGUUGAUAUAGGUACGACUCCUAUUGUUUCUG
rnacentral:tRNA from 6 species